UACGGGGGGAGCAAGCGUUGUUCGGAAUCACUGGGCGUAAAGGGAGUCUAGGCGGUUUGGUAAGUGGGAUGUGAAAUCCCCGGGCUCACCCCGGGACCUGCAUCCCAAACUGCUGAGCUUGAGUACAGGAGAGGGUGGGGGAAUUCCAGGUGUAGCGGUGAAAUGCGUAGAUAUCUGGAGGAACACCGGUGGCGAAGGCGGGUUGCUGGGCUGACACUGACGCUGAGGCGCGAAAGCCAGGGGAGCGAACGGG
rnacentral:rRNA from 1 species